GACGAACGCUGGCGGCGUGCCUAAUACAUGCAAGUCGAGCGGAUCAGUGAGGAAGCUUGCUUCCGAUCUGGUUAGCGGCGGACGGGUGAGUAACACGUAGGCAACCUGCCUGCAAGACCGGGAUAACAUUCGGAAACGAAUGCUAAUACCGGAUACGCAGUUUCCUCGCAUGGGGAGACUGGGAAAGACGGCGCAAGCUGUCACUUGCAGAUGGGCCUGCGGUGCAUUAGCUAGUUGGUGGGGUAACGGCUCACCAAGGCGACGAUGCAUAGCCGACCUGAGAGGGUGAUCGGCCACACUGGGACUGAGACACGGCCCAGACUCCUACGGGAGGCAGCAGUAGGGAAUCUUCCGCAAUGGACGAAAGUCUGACGGAGCAACGCCGCGUGAGUGAUGAAGGUUUUCGGAUCGUAAAGCUCUGUUGCCAGGGAAGAACAGCCAGGCGAGUAACUGCGCUUGGAAUGACGGUACCUGAGAAGAAGCCCCGGCUAACUACGUGCCAGCAGCCGCAGUAAAAC
rnacentral:rRNA from 1 species